rnacentral:rRNA from 1 species
AGCAGCCGCGGUAAUACGGAGGAUGCGAGCGUUAUCCGGAUUUAUUGGGUUUAAAGGGUGCGUAGGCGGUCCGUUAAGUCAGCGGUAAAAUUGCGGGGCUCAACCCCGUCGAGCCGUUGAAACUGGCAGACUUGAGUUGGCGAGAAGUACGCGGAAUGCGCGGUGUAGCGGUGAAAUGCAUAGAUAUCGCGCAGAACUCCGAUUGCGAAGGCAGCGUACCGGCGCCAGACUGACGCUGAGGCACGAAAGCGUGGGGAUCGAACAGGAUUAGAUACCCUGGUAGUCCACGCAGUAAACGAUGAAUGCUGGUUGUCCGGGUCGAAUGAGAUCUGG